UACGUAGGUGGCAAGCGUUAUCCGGAUUCAUUGGGCGUAAAGCGCGCGCAGGCGGCCGCUCAAGCGGGACCUCUAAUCCCGGGGCUCAACCCCGGGCCGGGUCCCGAACUGGGCGGCUCGGGUGCGGUAGGGGUAGGCGGAAUUCCCGGUGUAGCGGUGGAAUGCGCAGAUAUCGGGAAGAACACCGACGGCGAAGGCAGCCUACUGGGCCGCCACCGACGCUGAGGCGCGAAAGCUAGGGGAGCGAA
rnacentral:rRNA from 1 species